AAUGAAAAGGUAGACAGAACAGGUCUUGUUUGCAAAAUGAAUUUAAGACUUAGUUAUCUACCAACAGCAAUG
ensembl:miRNA MIR1839 microRNA mir-1839